UACGGAGGGGGCUAGCGUUGUUCGGAAUUACUGGGCGUAAAGCGCGCGUAGGCGGCUUUGUAAGUUAGAGGUGAAAGCCCGGAGCUCAACUCCGGAAUUGCCUUUAAGACUGCAUCGCUAGAAUCAUGGAGAGGUUAGUGGAAUUCCGAGUGUAGAGGUGAAAUUCGUAGAUAUUCGGAAGAACACCAGUGGCGAAGGCGACUAACUGGACAUGUAUUGACGCUGAGGUGCGGAAGCGUGGGGAGCAAACAGG
rnacentral:rRNA from 1 species